ACUGAACCUGUUUUGAUUUCAGAAGAGGUAAACACCCAUCAUCCAACAAGGCCUGAAAAUAAAGUAGGUGGGCUGCUUGAUUCCUUGGGAAACUCAGUUAGUGAACCGCAUGGCCUAUUUGAUAGCAAGGUAUAUAGUGGACAAAGGACCAACAGUAGGGUAGCAAAUGCAAAUGAAGCCUGAAUUUACAAGGCAUUUCAAUUAAGAUUUGUUUCUUCAUAUCAAACUCCUUGAGAGAUAUUUGUGACUCAACCAACAGCUGUUGUUUUCCAUACUUCAUAAUAUCAGAUACCUUAAACUGUACUUCUCAGUGCAGGUUUAUUAUAUAAGUUUCGAACGAAUUUCCAAUCUUUUGGCAUCAUGGUCAAUUACUAAUGUUUUGUUCUUAGUGUAAACAAUAUCUCUGUAGAUGUUUAGUUUUAUGGUGAUGCGGGUUAGGUACUUGUUGAAUUGUAUUCUCUUUAACCUGAAGUAGACAUGAAGAUGAGUAUGAUUAAGUAGGCGUUUGAAGUCACCAUUUUUGGGCACAAAUAAAUAGAGUUUGCCUCUCAUCUUAGCUAACCUAAUUAUCUUAGAAAUAUGUUCAACACUGACCUGUGUCUGAAAGGGCUAACACAACAAGCUAAACCAGAAAGCUUUAUUUUUCUCUUGCAACUUGUUUUCUAGUCAAUUUCACAUAAAUGGUUAUGCAGAAGAAUGAUCAACUGAUGAUUUUGACACUAUUGCUCAAUUGCAACCAAUUCAUCCUAUGGAGAAUCACAUACUGUUCCUAUUAAAUCUUUCAGAACCUUAAGAGUAAAACUUUAGUUUCAAGUAGCAGCUAGCUAGUAGGAAGUGAUAUCACUGUCAGUAUAUGCGAGAGAGCUGCAAGACAUGGAAAUGAUAUGUCAUCACUGUAGUAGAAGAUGAAGGGAACAGAGUUGAUCCGGUCUUCGUCCAUGAACCAGACGGGUACAUGGUAGAGCUCUACAACAGUUGGAAUCUUCCAAUCCUUCCUCCUCCUUCCAGACCAUUCAAGCUAAGGCUAAGCAGGUUCAACAAGGCUAUUGUAUUACAUGCUGCAAUUGUUUUACAGGUCUUUUAUGACUUAGUUCCAUGAAGAAAUUUGUAUUGAUUAUAGUACUUAAUAAGUUUGUGAUAUUGAGUUGUGAUUAUAUAUGCAUACCCUGUAAUCCUAGAUGAGGCUUCUCAUUGUAUUAACUUGGAAGCAUUGCCAUUGAUAUAGAUCAAAAGGAUGAAAGAAAUAAUCAGUAAGAACUAUAAGAUUUGACAUAUUAGGCCUUGGCUUUAGUUGGGCUUGCCACUAUUCUUUUCUGUGAAAUGUCAAAUUUGCAGCAUCUGAUGCCUUUCUUUUUUUCUUUUUCUUUUUACAAAAUUUCCAAAUAAAA
rnacentral:lncRNA from 1 species